rnacentral:tRNA from 1 species
GGGGUUGUAGCUUAGUGGCAGAGUACUUGCCUAGCAUGCAUGAGGUACUGGGUUCGAUUCUCAGCACCGCA